rnacentral:rRNA from 1 species
UACGUAGGAAGCGAGCGUUGUCCGGAUUUAUUGGGCGUAAAGAGCGUGUAGGCGGCCAAACAGGUCAGCUGUGAAAACUCGAGGCUCAACCUCGAGACGUCGGUUGAAACCGUUUGGCUAGAGUCCGGAAGAGGAGAGUGGAAUUCCCGGUGUAGCGGUGAAAUGCGCAGAUAUCGGGAAGAACACCCGUGGCGAAGGCGGCUCUCUGGGACGGUACUGACGCUGAGACGCGAAAGCGUGGGGAGCGAACAGG